GAUGGGAGCUUGCUCCCUGAUGUUAGCGGCGGACGGGUGAGUAACACGUGGGCAACCUGCCUGUAAGACUGGGAUAACUCCGGGAAACCGGGGCUAAUACCGGAUAACCCGUUUCACCUCAUGGUGGAGCGGUAAAAGAUGGCCUCUCGCUAUCACUUACAGAUGGGCCCGCGGCGCAUUAGCUAGUUGGUAAGGUAACGGCUUACCAAGGCGACGAUGCGUAGCCGACCUGAGAGGGUGAUCGGCCACACUGGGACUGAGACACGGCCCAGACUCCUACGGGAGGCAGCAGUAGGGAAUCUUCCGCAAUGGACGAAAGUCUGACGGAGCAACGCCGCGUGAGUGAUGAAGGUUUUCGGAUCGUAAAGCUCUGUUGUUAGGGAAGAACAAGUGCCGUUUGAAUAAGGCGGCACCUUGACGGUACCUAACCAGAAAGCCACGGCUAACUACGUGCCAGCAGCCGCGGUAAUACGUAGGUGGCAAGCGUUGUCCGGAAUUAUUGGGCGUAAAGCGCGCGCAGGCGGUCUCUUAAGUCUGAUGUGAAAGCCCACGGCUCAACCGUGGAGGGUCAUUGGAAACUGGGAGACUUGAGUACAGAAGAGGAGAGUGGAAUUCCACGUGUAGCGGUGAAAUGCGUAGAUAUGUGGAGGAACACCAGUGGCGAAGGCGACUCUCUGGUCUGUAACUGACGCUGAGGCGCGAAAGCGUGGGGAGCAAACAGGAUUAGAUACCCUGGUAGUCCACGCCGUAACGAUGAGUGCUAGGUGUUAGGGGUUUCGAUGCCCUUAGUGCCGAAGUUAACACAUUAAGCACUCCGCCUGGGGAGUACGACCGCAAGGUUGAACUCAAGGAAUUUGACGGGGGCCCGCACA
rnacentral:rRNA from 1 species